GGUAUACACUUGAUCUCUGAACUUCAGGUAAGUUCACUUGUUGACAAGAUUAUGAAUUGCUGAUGCA